rnacentral:rRNA from 1 species
GACGAACGCUGGCGGCGUGCCUAAUACAUGCAAGUUGAGCGCUGAAGGUUGGUACUUGUACCCACUGGAUGAGCAGCGAACGGGUGAGUAACGCGUGGGGAAUCUGCCUUUGAGCGGGGGACAACAUUUGGAAACGAAUGCUAAUACCGCAUAAAAACUUUAAACACAAGUUUUAAGUUUGAAAGAUGCAAUUGCAUCACUCAAAGAUGAUCCCGCGUUGUAUUAGCUAGUUGGUGAGGUAAAGGCUCACCAAGGCGAUGAUACAUAGCCGACCUGAGAGGGUGAUCGGCCACAUUGGGACUGAGACCCGGCCCAAACUCCUACGGGAGGCAGCAGUAGGGAAUCUUCGGCAAUGGACGAAAGUCUGACCGAGCAACGCCGCGUGAGGGAAGAAGGUUUUCGGAUCGGAAAACUCUGUUGGUAGAGAAGAACGUUGGUGAGAGUGGAAAGCUCAUCAAGUGACGGUAACUACCCAGAAAGGGACGGCUAACUACGUG